rnacentral:rRNA from 1 species
GACGAACGCUGGCGGCGUGCUUAACACAUGCAAGUCGAACGGUAAGGCCCUUCGGGGUACACGAGUGGCGAACGGGUGAGUAACACGUGGGUGAUCUGCCCUGCACUUCGGGAUAAGCCUGGGAAACUGGGUCUAAUACCGGAUAGGACCACUGCCUGCAUGGGUGGGGGUGGAAAGCUUUUGCGGUGUGGGAUGGGCCCGCGGCCUAUCAGCUUGUUGGUGGGGUGAGGGCCUCACAAGGCGACGACGGGUAUCCGGCCUGAGAGGGUGACCGGCCACACUGUGGCGGAGAUACGGCCCAUACUCCGACGGGAGGCAGCAGUGGGGAAUAUUGCACAAUGGGCGCAAGCCUGAUGCAGCGACGCCGCGUGAGUGAUGACGGCCUUCGGGUUGUAAACCUCUUUCAGCACCGACGAAGCGCAAGUGACGGUAGGUGCAGAAGAAGGACCGGCCAACUACGUGCCAGCCGCCGCAGUAA